UACGUAGGGUGCAAGCGUUGUCCGGAAUUAUUGGGCGUAAAGAGCGUGUAGGCGGCCCGACCAGUCCGCUGUGAAAGUCCAGGGCUCAACCCUGGAAUGCCGGUGGAUACUGUCGGGCUAGAGUCCGGAAGGGGCGAGUGGAAUUCCUGGUGUAGCGGUGGAAUGCGCAGAUAUCAGGAGGAACACCAAUAGCGAAGGCAGCUCGCUGGGACGUUACUGACACUGAGGCGCGAAAGCGUGGGGAGCGAACAGG
rnacentral:rRNA from 1 species